rnacentral:rRNA from 1 species
CGAUUAAACCGCCCUCGGGCGGACAUAGAGUGGCGAACGGGUGAGUAACACGUGACCAACCUGCCCCGCGCUCCGGGACAACCGCUGGAAACGGCGGCUAAUACCGGAUACUCCGGGAGGGCCCCAUGGCCCUGCCGGGAAAGCCGAGACGGCGCGGGAUGGGGUCGCGGCCCAUUAGGUAGACGGCGGGGUAACGGCCCACCGUGCCCGCGAUGGGUAGCCGGACUGAGAGGUCGACCGGCCACAUUGGGACUGAGAUACGGCCCAGACUCCUACGGGAGGCAGCAGUGGGGAAUUUUGCGCAAUGGGGGAAACCCUGACGCAGCAACGCCGCGUGCGGGACGAAAGCCCUCGGGUUGUAAACCGCUUUCAGCAGGGAAGAUCCAAAAAAAAACCUGCUGAAGAAGCUCCGGCGGGCUACAUACCAGCAGCCGCGGUAAUACGUAGGGGGCGAGCGUUAUCCGGAUUCAUUGGGCGUAAAGCGCGCGUAGGCGGCCGCCUAAGCGGGACCUCUAACCCCGGGGCUCAACCCCGGGCCGGGUCCCGGACUGGGCGGCUCGAGUGCGGUAGAGGAGAGCGGAAUUCCCGGAGNAGCGGGGGAAGGCGCUCUUUUGGGGAAGAACACCGAAGGCGAAGGCAGCACACAGGGCCGACACAGACGAAGAGGCGCAAAAGGGGGGGCCUUUUAGGGANNANNNNNNNNANNAAUNCCAACANGGGGGGCCGCUGAUGAAGGUGUGGGGGGACGAUCCCUCCGUGCCGCAGCCAACGCAUUAAGCGCCCCGCCUGGGGAGUACGGCCGCAAGGCUAAAACUCAAAGGAAUUGACGGGGGCCCGCACAAGCAGCGGAGCAUGUGGCUUAAUUCGAAGCAACGCGAAGAACCUUACCAGGGCUUGACAUGCCGAUGAAGCCGGGGAGACCCGGUGGCCGAGAGGAGUCGGCGCAGGUGGUGCAUGGCUGUCGUCAGCUCGUGUCGUGAGAUGUUGGGUUAAGUCCCGCAACGAGCGCAACCCCCGCCCCGUGUUGCCAGCAUUCAGUUGGGGACUCGCGGGGGACUGCCGGCGUCAAGCCGGAGGAAGGUGGGGACGACGUCAAGUCAUCAUGCCCCUUAUGCCCUGGGCUGCACACGUGCUACAAUGGCCGGUACAGAGGGUUGCCACCCCGCGAGGGGGAGCGGAUCCCGGAAAGCCGGUCCCAGUUCGGAUCGCAGGCUGCAACCCGCCUGCGUGAAGCCGGAGUUGCUAGUAAUCG